rnacentral:misc_RNA from 1 species
GAUUUAGAUCAUCUUUAAUAUUAAAGAACUUUGAUUAAAUUUCAGUUAUUGGAACUUAGUUUUCAGGUGAUUACAACCCCUUUUCCCGUUUCUCCAAUUCUUUUUUAAUCAGUAGUGCAUCUUUUACAUUAUUAUUAUAUCAAAAUCUGUAUUUGCAUACAUAUUUCUUCUAUACACUCUCAUGCUUGAAUUUGGCCAAGUUGGAAAGCUCGUCAACUGCUUCAACCAAGUGAUCAAGCCUAGCAACAAACUCAAUAAGCAAGGAAGUAAAUGUCGCAAGUGACAGCGCUGCAGUGCUUUCUAAUGCUUUCAUUCUGGGCACAAAGUCUACGGCAAGACCUCCGUCAUCUUCAUAAGCAUCCACUGCCCUUGACGGCCAUGAAUGCAGCCUCCUUGAUUGCUUCCUCAUCAUCUCAUGGUAAGACUCCACUGGUUGUCCUAGUGGGAUAGUCCCUGAAGGUGUGGUUUGGUUCGUUGGAUCUGAAGUCUUUACCAAGUUAUUGCUGUCAAGCUCGGGCAAUUGAUUCGAGAGAUCAUAUGGGAUAGUUGAAAGUGUAUGAGACAACUUGGGAAGCGUUUUGGAAGAGUUGUCAUUAGGCUCAAAAUUAGAUAUAAGGAGAUAGCAGUGCAUGUCUAUUGCACGUUGUAGUCGCUCAGUUGAGAUGUGAACCUUCUUUAAUAGUGAGGUUUUGAGGCUUCGCUUCAUGUCACUAAUGUCUUUGCCCAAGUUCCUUACAAGUUCUGCAGCCUGGGUUGCUGCAUCCUGAAUUUCUGACUGGAAUCUGACUCGGAGGUUGUAAGGUGCCUGAAUCUCAGAGUGUAGGACUCCAUGAAGUGCCAUAACCUCAUAAGCACAAUAUCGUAGAACUGCCCCAACCUUAACAUACUCUGACCAAGGAUAGAGGAAAUGUGGAAACCGCCCAUGUGGUGGCUCCCAUUUUGCUGAAUUAGCCAAGGAUUCAAUUUUUGCGGAGGAAUUCAGGGUAUUUCGACAUUUCCUGUAAGCUGGUUCAUCUGGAAACUCAUCCAUUACAGUCUUGGAGAACUCUGGAUGUUCUAGCCCGUCAUCUCCUAGGUACUUCUUCACACAUUCUUCAAGAGAGUCAGCCAAUGAGUUAAAGCUGCUGACUAUCUCCUUGUGCAAUUGCUCCCCAGCCCAUAUAGGAAGAACCAGAACAUUUACUAGGACUGCUACAAACCCUCCAAUGGCAAUAGAGUACAGACGAUCCAUUGCAGUCCUAAUUGGAUUCCCCAUUCGAUAUCCAGAGACUAUGAUCAAGCAGUAAGUAAAGAGUAUGACCCUGAAUCCAUAUUCAUAUGGCACAAGUGAUGGCCAUAAUUUCAUGAAUGAUGUAAUAGCCCCAAUCAGGAAGAUGCUAAUUCCAAUUAUUAUAGGCUCUGCAACCCUGCCACUACGUAGAGCUAACUGAGCAACUGCAACAGCCAAAAUCCCUGCAAGCACACUUCCAAUUGCUCGGUUGAAACCUCGAUUGAAAGUUGCACCGACUGUAUAUUCGAACAUGAUAGCAACUGUGAGGAUGGACCAGAUGAUGUUGGUGCCAAAUAUAUCAUAAGGUGCUUGGAAUAGUAUAAGCAAAGACACAAGAAGAACAGAUAGCCCAACCUUGAAUGAGAAUGUUACCCUGUUAGUAUCUUCUUUGGCAAAUUCCCACACCCUCCAAAUCCAAGCCUUACAGGCAAAUCCUCCAAUUCCAUCUUUCUUUCCAGUUUCUGGCGGCUUGACUUUGGUAUCCACCGACGGAAUGUUGAUAGCAAAACUACCCUUUUUGCCAUUCAUUCUCCAAUCAAGUAUUAUGAGAUCUUCCAACUCUUUCAGCCUACCUUGCUUUGAGUUUCCUGUAUUCUUAAAUGAUGUUGACUUGCUUUCUUGAACUAUAUUUUUCAAGAAAAACACUUUUAAAGAAAUUAUUUUAUGUGAUAUACUACUGAAAAUCUUGAAGAAAUGGAGUUUUCCAGCAGUGAGGUGAUGAACUAAUGAGAAGAGUUGUUG